rfam:Helicobacter bizzozeronii CCTG 35545, WGS project CAGP01000000 data, contig: tsc_c4
GGUCGCGUAGCUCAGUGGUAGAGCACUACCUUGACAUGGUAGGGGUCGCUGGUUCAAGUCCAGUCGGGACCA